rnacentral:tRNA from 1 species
GGGCGAGUGGCGAAACUGGUAUACGCUGCAGACUUAAAAUCUGCUGGGAGCGAUCUCGUGCGGGUUCAAGUCCCGCCUCGCCCACCA